UAUUGAAAGUUACGGCGGCGACGGAUUGGCUCGCGUCCGAUUAGCUUGUUGGCGGGGUAACGGCCCACCAAGGCUACGAUCGGUAGGGGUUCUGAGAGGAAGGCCCCCCACAAUGGGACUGAGACACGGCCCAUACUCCUACGGGAGGCAGCAGUGAGGAAUAUUGGUCAAUGGGCGGAAGCCUGAACCAGCCAUGCCGCGUGCGGGAAGGAGGCCCUAUGGGCUGUGAACCGCUUUUGCCUGGGGGCAAUAAGGGCGUCGCGCACGUCCGAUGAGAGUACCAGGCGAAUAAGCAUCGGCUAACUCCGUGCCAGCAGCCGCGGUAAUACGGGGGAUGCGAGCGUUAUCCGGAUUCAUUGGGUUUAAAGGGUGCGUAGGCUGUGCGUCAAGUCGGGGGUGAAAUUCCGGUGCUCAACACCGGGGCUGCCCUUGAUACUGUCGCGCUGGAGUGCGGAUGCCGCCGGAGGAAUGAGUGGUGUAGCGGUGAAAUGCUUAGAUAUCACUCAGAACACCGAUUGCGAAGGCAUCUGGCGAAUCCGUAACUGACGCUGAGGCACGAAAGCGUGGGGAUAGAACAGGAUUAGAUACCCUGGUAUUCCACGCCGUAAACGAUGAUGGCUAACCGCCGGCGACACACUGUCGGUGGCCAAGCGAAAGCGAUAAGCCAUCCACCUGGGGAGUAC
rnacentral:rRNA from 1 species